CUGGAGGAGCCGUGGAGUACCGCAAGCCCCGCGGCUGCCCACAGAACGCGUGGACCGCCGAGCACAUAUAGUUCCUGGGGCCAGCUGGGUGGCCAAAGCUGUAUGUGCCUCGGUCCUCAGUUUUGCCACUGCCAGGUAAUUGCUGCAAACCUUAUCUCCUGCCGAUGAGCCCUGCGCAUGUUAAUCGUUGAGGAUGCAGAUGGAGCCUGUGUUUGUGUACUUGGACCAGCCUCCUUGGCAGACAAGUCAAGUCCCUGUGACCUGCAGUUCCCCAGCUGGUGCUCUUUUCAGCCUUGCCUGUUAGGCACUGUUUCCCUGGAAGGGUGA
rnacentral:lncRNA from 1 species